rnacentral:lncRNA from 1 species
CGCUAUGUUUCAGCUUUUCUUCUUUUUCUCUCUAAUACAAUGUCCUUUGAAUCUCUUUUUACAUGUACUCUUGUACAUGACUCAUGUGCUUGUGAUUCUAAAAUAAUGCACCUUUCUUUUUCUUUUUUCUUCUUUCAUAGCUUUUAUAUAGAGUAAUCAAUCUCAUCACAUGUGUGUUUGUUCCCAUUUCUCAAUUCCCAAGUUCUUUAUCCAAAUUGUUCUGAAACAUAGAGAGAAACAAUGGGUGUUACAGGAGGAUUAGUCAGAAGCAUUUUCUUCAGGAACAAAUCAUUUGGAGCUCAUGACUACAACAAUGUAUGUGGUUGUCAUUUUCAUCAAAAACCCAUCAUCGUUCUGGUUUUUGUUUUAUCUACUACUUCAAAUGUUGUAAUGUUUUCAGGGAAGAGGCAAUCUAGGAGAGAAGAAACGAUGGAGCUCGGUUAGAUCAUACCUUUGCGGAGAUGAAUUUAACUCUGUUCGCGCUGUGAAUGAUUCAGAAUCGAUAAAGGAUUCUGAGGCUCUUCUUACAAUGUCUCAGCAACUGAGUUCAGAGUUCGGUAUGCCUUUUGGUUCGGUUAUCGCAAUCGAAGAUUCAGCUUCUGUGAGACAUUUGGAGGAUGAGGACUCUGGUUCCGUUAAGAGCUCUGAGGCAACAGUGACUCAACCUUUACUGGAGGAGAAAUCGAAAGGACUGGAUUGUUAUCUAAAAGAAGAAGAUGUUGAAGAUAACCAAAGCGAAGCAACAGAGACACACAUACCCAAGAAGCAUCAGACUACUCCAAUCUCCAAGUUGUUCCUCGAAGAAGACGCUGCAGUCAUAAU